GUUCAUCCAUGGGCAGGGAUUUGCUGCACUGCUGUGCUAAUAUAAAGUAUUGCACUUGUCCCGGCCUGUGGAAGAAAG
rnacentral:pre_miRNA from 1 species